UGCGGAGGGUGCGAGCGUUGUCCGGAAUCAUUGGGCGUAAAGGGCGCGUAGGUGGCCCGGUGAGUUCGUGGUGAAAGCGCGGGGCUCAACCCUGCGUCGGCCAUGAAUACUGCCGCGGCUGGAGUACUGUAGAGGCAGGCGGAAUUCCGGGUGUAGCGGUGGAAUGCGUAGAGAUCCGGAAGAACACCGGUGGCGAAGGCGGCCUGCUGGGCAGUUGCUGACACUGAGGCGCGACAGCGUGGGGAGCAAACAGG
rnacentral:rRNA from 1 species